GGUAGAUUUUUUUUUUUCAUGUAGCUAUUUUUGCUAGCAGUCAAGAUCAAAAUCGGGGGUGUCUGGCACCUACGAGCAUGCGCUUCAUCACCGCUGUGGAUGCUCUUCUCUGUUGAGAAUUCGGAAAGGCAUUCCUAAGACCGGAACCAAAUCUUAACCUUGAGCUCACUGGAUUCAUUCAGCUUCGGAAACAAAAGAAGUAGGCUUGUCUUCUACUAAUGGUGUUCAGAUCCUGAUGCCGUUAUGACAGUGGAGAUUUUGAACGAGAGCUCAGCGUUUUGAAAGAAUGUUUUUCCUUUUACUGUUUUGGCCCCGUGGAUAGGUAUUAGGAUCGAUCUUUUUUUUUUUUUUUUUUUUUUUGAAAAGAAAAUGCUGAAAAAUUAAAUUGGUGCAAUUUCUGUAUUUCCUGGCUGAGUUUUCUUGGGUCAGAUUAGGUCCUCAGUCUUGUGAGCAUAUCUAGUCAUAUGCUACGUAUCUUUUUCAUCAAUGGAAGCAACCAUAACAUGAAGACCCCUCUGUGCUUCUUUAUUGAUACAACUUUCUAUAACUAAGUGGUCAACACAUUUUGUAAAAUAAAUAGAAGAAAGAAGAUGAAAUGUACGCUUGGAUUUCCUAUAAACCUGUUUCAAUUUGACCAUCUCACCUCCUUAGGGACCUGCAGCCACUCACUGGAGGCAAAAAAAAAAAAAAAACUAAUUUGCAUUUACCGGUGAGGACAGACAUGAAAUGUAGGAAUCUUGGAGAAAUUUCUGUCUCACUUCAAGGUCAUGCAAGUUUUGAAAAUUGAUUAAUUGAUCUAAAAUGCUUGAGGCCCCUGUGUUGUAAGGUACCCAUGAAUACCAUAAUGUUUAGGUUACUAGAGCAUGUACCAUGGAAUAUUCUCUUUUAAGCUAGAGAUGAGAAGAGUUUCACAGAGAGUAGUUGGUUAGUGUACACUAGGCCCUUGUUUCAAUCUCCAGCACAAGAGUAACAAUAACCAAGAAGACAAUUUGGAACCUUUCUUAUCACUGAUAAUUAGCAUUUAUCGAUAUCUGCGGGUAGGCACCCUUAUCCUAUAACAUCCAAGAGGAGGAAGUCUUUGGUGUCAGACCUUUUGAUGCAAGGAGUGAAAAGCAGUCUCCGCAGUUUAAGCGUGAGGAAGGAGUACUAUACUGACUUAUAAUAAGACAAGGUGGAACUAGCCAUGAAGACACUUCAGACAGGAGUUCAAUCACUGACAGACAGGGGUAGCUCUCCUUCUCUUAUAUAUCUGCCUCGUUCAUGGGUGGGAGAACUCAGCCUCCGACAUGCUAAAUUAUUACAAAGAAUGAAUAUUCCAAGGAAUGCAAGGGAAUUUCUUCUCUCUACUUCUAUUUUCAAGAAAUGGUAGGGCAGGCUAUAAACUCAGCCCACUGGAGGCUGAAGCAGGAGGAUCACAAAGUUUCCAGCAAGUCUCACCUACAUAGCAAGUUCUAAGAUACCUUAAACUCAUGCAGAGAUCCUGUCUCCAAAAAAACCACAAAAAACAGACUGGUCUGACAAUUCUGGUGUCUCUGUCUUGUGCCACAUGCCUACCUCACCAUGGUGCCAUGGAAUGAGGUCCCACCACUAGCCUCGCUUAGACAACACACCUGCCUUUGUAGGCACAUGAGGAGCAGGGACUGUCUUUUAAGAAAGAAACAGUGGGUUUGGAGCCAGUUGGAAUCACCACUUAUUGCAAACUUACCAGGUUUCAGUGAGGAUAAGAAAGGGAUUUAGCAGGU
rnacentral:lncRNA from 1 species